rnacentral:rRNA from 1 species
CCCUUAGAUGUUCUGGGCCGCACGCGCGCUACACUGACGAUGUCAGAGAGUGUCUCCUUCACCGAGAGGUGUGGGUAAUCUUUUAAACAUCGUCGUGCUGGGGAUAGAUCAUUGCAAUUUUUGAUCUUAAACGAGGAAUUCCUAGUAAGCGCGAGUCAUCAGCUCGCGCUGAUUACGUCCCUGCCCUUUGUACACACCGCCCGUCGCUCCUACCGAUUGAGUGAUCCGGUGAGGCUCUGGGACCUGGACGGAAAGAGCGUUUCGCUUGUUCUGUUUGGGAAACUUGGUCGAACCUUAUCAUUUAGAGGAAGGAGAAGUCGUAACA